rnacentral:rRNA from 1 species
AUGAACUGGUGCUUGCACCGGGGAUUAGUGGCGAACGGGUGAGUAACACGUGAGUAACCUGCCCUUGACUCUGGGAUAAGCCUGGGAAACUGGGUCUAAUACCGGAUAUGACCUUCCAUCGCAUGGUGGUUGGUGGAAAGCUUUUGUGGUUUUGGAUGGACUCGCGGCCUAUCAGCUUGUUGGUGGGGUAAUGGCCUACCAAGGCGACGACGGGUAGCCGGCCUGAGAGGGUGACCGGCCACACUGGGACUGAGACACGGCCCAGACUCCUACGGGAGGCAGCAGUGGGGAAUAUUGCACAAUGGGCGCAAGCCUGAUGCAGCGACGCCGCGUGAGGGAUGACGGCCUUCGGGUUGUAAACCUCUUUCAGUAGGGAAGAAGCCGUGAGGUGACGGUACCUGCAGAAGAAGCGCCGGCUAACUACGUGCCAGCAGCCGCGGUAAUACGUAGGGCGCAAGCGUUAUCCGGAAUUAUUGGGCGUAAAGAGCUCGUAGGCGGUUUGUCGCGUCUGCCGUGAAAGUCCGGGGCUCAACUCCGGAUCUGCGGUGGGUACGGGCAGACUAGAGUGAUGUAGGGGAGACUGGAAUUCCUGGUGUAGCGGUGAAAUGCGCAGAUAUCAGGAGGAACACCGAUGGCGAAGGCAGGUCUCUGGGCAUUAACUGACGCUGAGGAGCG